rnacentral:rRNA from 1 species
AGAGUUUGAUCCUGGCUCAGAUUGAACGCUGGCGGCAUGCUUUACACAUGCAAGUCGGACGGCAGCACAGAGAAGCUUGCUUCUUGGGUGGCGAGUGGCGAACGAGUGAGUAACAUAUCGGAACGUACCGAGUAAUGGGGGAUAACUAAUCGAAAGAUUAGCUAAUACCGCAUAUUCUCUGAGGAGGAAAGCAGGGGACCUUCGGGCCUUGCGUUAUUCGAGCGGCCGAUAUCUGAUUAGCUAGUUGGUGGGGUAAAGGCCUACCAAGGCGACGAUCAGUAGCGGGUCUGAGAGGAUGAUCCGCCACACUGGGACUGAGACACGGCCCAGACUCCUACGGGAGGCAGCAGUGGGGAAUUUUGGACAAUGGGCGCAAGCCUGAUCCAGCCAUGCCGCGUGUCUGAAGAAGGCCUUCGGGUUGUAAAGGACUUUUGUCAGGGAAGAAAAGGCUGUCGCUAAUACCGACAGUUGAUGACGGUACCUGAAGAAUAAGCACCGGCUAACUACGUGCCAGCAGCCGCGGUAAUACGUAGGGUGCGAGCGUUAAUCGGAAUUACUGGGCGUAAAGCGAGCGCAGACGGUUACUUAAGCAGGAUGUGAAAUCCCCGGGCUUAACCUGGGAACUGCGUUCUGAACUGGGUGACUAGAGUGUGUCAGAGGGAGGUAGAAUUCCACGUGUAGCAGUGAAAUGCGUAGAGAUGUGGAGGAAUACCGAUGGCGAAGGCAGCCUCCUGGGAUGACACUGACGUUCAUGCUCGAAAGCGUGGGUAGCAAACAGGAUUAGAUACCCUGGUAGUCCACGCCCUAAAC